rnacentral:lncRNA from 1 species
CUCGUGCUGCCUCCCUUCCUCCACAUUGUCCUUACGAUUGUGCUAUUGACCUCCUCCCGGGCACCAUACCGCCUCAAGGCCGGCUAUAUUCCCUGUCUGGCCCUGAGACCAAGGCCAUGGAGGAGUACAUUGAGAACUUGAGAGGAUCUGCAGAGAAGAAUGGGACAAACUUCCCAAAUACAGGGGUGCCAAGCUUGUAGCGUCAUACCCACGAAGACUUGAUGCUGUAAUCACUGCCAAAGAUCACUGAAACUCCACCUGAUGUGGUGGAAGUUGUCGAACCAGAUCAGAACGCCUUCGAGGACCACUUUCAGGCACGGGCUGAGAAGGAUGUGGAGGUUUUUGACCAGGUGAGACUAAAUAUCAACAAGGCGCAGGAGAAACAGGACAGCUACUGGAGGAGAAUCAAUAAGGGGACCAAGUUCUACGACAUCUGGGUGGAUUACUUGAUUUGAAAGAAGGACGAAAGGAAGGCGAGACCUGGGAAACCUCGCUGCUCUUUUCGCUCUUAGCUGGGGUCACCAUACAUUAAGGGUACCUUGGUGGAAGCCAACAAUCUUCUCUAGUUGGAGCAGUUGGACGGUCGACCACUGAAAGCCCCGACGCCCUACACUCUGGAGAAGCACAUGAGACAUAGUAUGUUAAGCUUUGCUUGACAUUUGAGAAAGCAAAACAUGGAAGUUAUGCUGAGCUUAUAAAAAUGUACCUCUUCAAUUUACCUCUCCAAAUGACUUAAAGACCAUCGACUGUCCGAGCCACCCAGGAGGUAUCCCAUCCACCAGAGCCAGUGAAUUUGGAUCAGUCUGAUUCUAUGUGCUCUAAGCCGAAGGGGACGAGCUUAAAGUAGGCUAUACCUUCAAGAACUGUUGAAAUGCAUCUCCCAUGUAUAACACUGCACUUAUCCAUAAAAUGUUCUCACCGGUCGCUUGUGUUGGACUGCAGGAACAGGGGCAGGUAAGUCUAGUCACUGAACUAGAAGACACUAGUGAGGUUCUCAUCACAAGCAAUAGACAACCAUCAACACUAAGUCAAUCACACAUUUUAAAUACUUUAGUAUAUGCAAUAAUUGUAUAAACUGGACAAGGACUUUGUCCUGUAUUUUUACAUACCUGAUCUACCUGUAACCUGUGUGUUUGCUUAUUUACGUCUCGGUCUCCUCCCCUCUUCCCUUUAACUCUGCUCCUGUUCUCCAGAACCUAGGGGAUCUGUCUAGCACCCAGAUGUGGAUCCACCUGAUGUCCUCCAUCCACCCUCCAACUUUUCAUUACAUCAUCUACAGCUACUGUUACUGUCAUGUUGGCAUUAUCUGCUAAGAAAGUUUUCAUGCUCUACUGGGCACAUAAUAUGUGAGAUACACAAAUUAAAAACAUUAGCACUGCAAACACUCAGAACAAAGAGAGCAGCAGUGCCUGGACUUUGCAGUGUCCCUCUUCGAGUCCCC